rnacentral:rRNA from 1 species
AGGGUUUGAUCCUGGCUCAGAACGUACGCUGGCGGCACGCCUAACACAUGCAAGUCGAACGAAGUAGCAAUACUUAGUGGCAGACGGGUGAGUAACAUGUAGGUAUCUUCCCUUUGGCCUGGAAUAACACGAGGAAACUUGUGCUAAUACUGGAUAAGUCUUUACGGAGAAAGCUUUAUGCACCAUUGGAUGAGCCUGCACUUGAUUAGUUUGUUGGUGGGGUAAUGGCCUACCAAGACUUUGAUCAAUAGCUGAUUUGAGAGGAUGAUCAGCCACAUUGGGACUGAGACACGGCCCAAACUCCUACGGGAGGCAGCAGUGGGGAAUAUUGCACAAUGGAGGAAACUCUGAUGCAGCGAUGCCGCGUGAGUGAAGAAGGCCUUUGGGUUGUAAAGCUCUUUCGUCGGGGAAGAAAAUGACUGUACCCGAAUAAGAAGGUCCGGCUAACUUCGUGCCAGCAGCCGCGGUAAUACGAAGGGACCUAGCGUAGUUCGGAAUUACUGGGCUUAAAGAGUUCGUAGGUGGUUGAAAAAGUUGGUGGUGAAAUCCCAGAGCUUAACUCUGGAACUGCCAUCAAAACUUUUCAGCUAGAGUAUGAUAGAGGAAAGCAGAAUUUCUAGUGUAGAGGUGAAAUUCGUAGAUAUUAGAAAGAAUACCAAUUGCGAAGGCAGCUUUCUGGAUCAUUACUGACACUGAGGAACGAAAGCAUGGGUAGCGAAGAGGAUUAGAUACCCUCGUAGUCCAUGCCGUAAACGAUGUGUGUUAGACGUUGGAAAUUUAUUUUCAGUGUCGCAGCGAAAGCGAUAAACACACCGCCUGGGGAGUACGACCGCAAGGUUAAAACUCAAAUGAAUUGACGGGGACCCGCACAAGUAGUGGAGCAUGUGGUUUAAUUCGAAGAUACGCGCAGAACCUUACCAACACUUGACAUGUUCGUCGCGACUUUAAGAGAUUAAAGUUUUCGGUUCGGCCGGACGAAACACAGGUGCUGCAUGGCUGUCGUCAGCUCGUGUCGUGAGAUGUUGGGUUAAGUCCCGCAACGAGCGCAACCCUCACUUUUAGUUGCCAUCAUUUAGUUGGGCACUCUGAAAGAACUGCCAGUGAUAAGCUGGAGGAAGGUGGGGAUGACGUCAAGUCCUCAUGGCCCUUACGUGUUGGGCUACACACGUGCUACAAUGGUAUCUACAACAGGAAGCAAAACUGCGAAGUUAAGCAAAUCCUUAAAAGAUACCUCAGUUCGGAUUGCACUCUGCAACUCGAGUGCAUGAAGCUGGAAUUACUAGUAAUCGUGGAUCAGCGUGCCACGGUGAAUGCGUUCCCGGGUCUUGUACACACCGCCCGUCACACCAUGGGAGUUGGUUCUACCUUAAGGCAAGGUUUAAUACCCUUGACCACGGUAUAGUCAGCGACUGGGGUGAAGUCAUAACAAGGUAACCG